rnacentral:rRNA from 1 species
AUAAUCUACCUUUGAGUGAAAAAUAACCCCUCGAAAGAGGAGCUAAUAUUUCGUAAGACCACAGAUACUUCGGUAUCAGGGGUAAAAGGAGGCCUCUAUUUAUAAGCUUCCACUUAUUGAUGAGUCCGCGCACCAUUAGCUAGUUGGCAGGGUAAUGGCCUACCAAGGCAAAGAUGGUUAGCUGAUCUGAGAGGAUGAUCAGCGACACUGGAACUGAAACACGGUCCAG